UACGAGGGAUGCAAGCGUUAUCCGGAAUUAUUGGGCGUAAAGCGUUUGUAGGCGGGCGAGUGUGUUUAAUGUUAAAUCUUAAAGCUCAACUUUGAAAUUGCGUUAAAAACUGCUUGUCUUGAGUAUGGUAGGGGUAAAGGGAAUUCCCAGUGUAGCGGUGAAAUGCGUAGAUAUUGGGAAGAACACUAAACAGCGAAGGCACUUUACUAGGCUAAUACUGACGCUGAGAAACGAAAGGUAAGGUAGCGAAACGGAUUAGAUACCCGUGUAGUCUUACCCGUAAACUAUGGACACUAAACGGUAAAUUUUUAAUUUACUGUUAAAGCUAACGCGUUAAGUGUCCCGCCUGGGGAGUAUGCUUGCAAAAGUGAAACUCAAAGGAAUUGACGGGGGCCCGCACAAGCGGUGGAGCAUGUGGUUUAAUUCGACGGUACACGAAGAACCUUACCAAGAUUUGACAUGCUAGAUAGUUGCUUGAAAGAGUAACGUGCCGUAAGGAAUCUAGACACAGGUGGUGCAUGGCUGUCGUCAGUUCGUGUUGUGAAAUGUUGGGUUAAGUCCCGCAACGAACGCAACCCUUGUCUUUAGUUAUUUUCUAAAGAGACUGCCUGUAAUAAACAGGAGGAAGGUAAGGAUGAGGUCAAGUCAUCAUGCCCCUUAUGUCCUGGGCUACACACGUGCUACAAUGGGAAAGACAAUGAGCUGCAAAUCUGUAAAUUUAAGCAAAUCUCUUAAACUUUCUCGUAGUUCGGAUUGUGGGCUGCAACUCGCCCACAUGAAGUUGGAAUCGCUAGUAAUCGCCAGUCAGCUAUAUGGCGGUGAAUCCGUUCCCGGGCCU
rnacentral:rRNA from 1 species